AUGAACGCUGGCGGCGUGCCUAAUACCUGCAAGUCGAGCGAACAGAUGAGGAGCUUGCUCCUCUGACGUUAGCGGCGGACGGGUGAGUAACACGUGGAUAACCUACCUAUAAGACUGGGAUAACUUCGGGAAACCGGAGCUAAUACCGGAUAAUAUAUUGAACCGCAUGGUUCAAUAGUGGAAGACGGUUUUGCUGUCACUUAUAGAUGGAUCCGCGCCGCAUUAGCUAGUUGGUAAGGUAACGGCUUACCAAGGCAACGAUGCGUAGCCGACCUGAGAGGGUGAUCGGCCACACUGGAACUGAGACACGGUCCAGACUCCUACGGGAGGCAGCAGUAGGGAAUCUUCCGCAAUGGGCGAAAGCCUGACGGAGCAACGCCGCGUGAGUGAUGAAGGUCUUCGGAUCGUAAAACUCUGUUAUUAGGGAAGAACAAAUGUGUAAGUAACUAUGCACGUCUUGACGGUACCUAAUCAGAAAGCCACGGCUAACUACGUG
rnacentral:rRNA from 1 species